GCACCACCCUGGCAGUCGAGCGGCAGCGGAGUAGCUUGCUACUUUGCCGGCGAGCGGCGGACGGGUGAGUAAUGUCUGGGAAACUGCCCGAUGGAGGGGGAUAACCACUGGAAACGGUGGCUAAUACCGCAUAACGUCUUCGGACCAAAGUGGGGGACCUUCGGGCCUCACACCAUCGGAUGUGCCCAGAUGGGAUUAGCUAGUAGGUGGGGUAAUGGCUCACCUAGGCGACGAUCCCUAGCUGGUCUGAGAGGAUGACCAGCCACACUGGAACUGAGACACGGUCCAGACUCCUACGGGAGGCAGCAGUGGGGAAUAUUGCACAAUGGGCGCAAGCCUGAUGCAGCCAUGCCGCGUGUGUGAAGAAGGCCUUCGGGUUGUAAAGCACUUUCAGCGAGGAGGAAGGGUAGUGUCUUAAUACGGCAUUACAUUGACGUUACUCGCAGAAGAAGCACCGGCUAACUCCGUGCCAGCAGCCGCGGUAAUACGGAGGGUGCAAGCGUUAAUCGGAAUUACUGGGCGUAAAGCGCACGCAGGCGGUUUGUUAAGUCAGAUGUGAAAUCCCCGAGCUUAACUUGGGAACUGCAUUUGAAACUGGCAGACUAGAGUCUCGUAGAGGGGGGUAGAAUUCCAGGUGUAGCGGUGAAAUGCGUAGAGAUCUGGAGGAAUACCGGUGGCGAAGGCGGCCCCCUGGACGAAGACUGACGCUCAUGUGCGAAAGCGUGGGGAGCAAACAGGAUUAGAUACCGGGGAAAUCAAAAU
rnacentral:rRNA from 1 species